rnacentral:lncRNA from 1 species
CCUGGCCGUGGGGUCAGCUGCAUAGGCCAGGAGCUCGAGGGUGGUGGCUGGCAGAAAGUGCAGUCCAAAGUGCUCUGUUUUGUUUUGAUUGUGUUUUAAAAUGGGACAAAUAACAGCAUGUGUGUUUGCUGAUGGGGAGAAUCCAGGAGAAAAACAGUGAAGUUGAGGUGAGCCUCACAGGGUCAGGGGGAAGACAGGGGAUCCCGAAGAUAACGUCUGCUACGAACUCAAUUGCAUCCGCCCCAGGCCCUACGUGGAAGCCCUAAUCCCCACGGUGACUGCAUUUGGAGAAGGACCUUCAGCACAUGAUGGAGGGACCGAGAUGCCCAAAUCCUGGCCCUCCUGCUGGACUUUCAUUUUAAAGAACAAUAAAAUUAAUGUUAACUUCUAGCAGCUUCCAAGCUCUGCGGCCCCGGAGAGGGUCAGCGAGGGGCCUCCACUGUCUGAGUCCGCUCCUGGCAACGCCUGCUCUCUGCACUCAGAGGCCCGGUCCCGGCAGCUGCCACGUUGCUCAGAAGUUCUGGCAGGGGGAGCCUGAAACCCCUGUCUGCUGGCGACACUCCCGGAGCGGCAGGAAAUCUCUACAUUUUAUUUUUUUUCUUA